UGGAUCACUGUUGGCAUAAACAAUAUUAGCUGUUUAGAAGCCGGUCCUAUGCAAUUGUAGACUUGGCUAUGUAGCAUAUCUGUGCAUGAAUAAUUAUUCUGCAUGACAUAUAAAACAAAAGGAGUGUACUUACACAUUCAUAAUUUUGGCAGACUCAUAGACUCCAACGGUAAGGUAGUCCUGCUUCUUUGCAGACACCAACAACUCCUCCAGGGCUGUGCCUGCACUUUGCACUCUGAAGACGAAAAAAAGACACCGGUGUUAUUAUAAAGUCAUUACAUAAGAUCUCUCCAUCCAUUCUCUCUGACCUGUUCUCCAGGCCAUCCACAUACACCUUCUUCUUCUUCCUACUCUCCUGGGCCGACUGCUUGUUGCGGAUCUUUCUCCUCACCCUCUUCAGUGUCCUCUCCUCAGUCUGAGACAGCGAGAGACAGACUACUCACUUGACAUGGUCGUCUGAUGAACACGAGAGAACACCACCAGAUCUUUAUGGUCUCACAUGAACAGUAAAGUUAUGGAACCUUACAAGGAUAUUUCUGUGAAAUGUUCUAAUCCAAGGAUGAGUCAAGUGACUCUGAACUCAAAUCGUCUGAACUUAAUCUCAAAAGCAUGGGGAAAAUAAAGACCGCACCACCUAAUUCCACCUAACUGAAAAUCUGAUUGCUGAUUGGCUGGCGUGCUACAUUCUUCAGGAUUCAUGACCAGCUGGGCUGGGGGCGGUGUAAGGUUAGACAGCUGGGAACCCCUUCAUAUGUCAUGUGUAGCCCCCUAGAGUUAGUCUAAAGAUGCUCAAACUACCAACAAACUAUUCAAUUAAUUGAACUGUGAACAGACAUUUUAUUGUCAUGCAACUACUCCUUCAUACCACCCAAAGCUAUGAACCUGUUAGCCAAGUGUAAAGGUCUAGAUCAACACUUACCCAGAUCAAUAAAGACAUCCAUAUCCAACUUCUCUGCCCUCACGCUCUGUAGAGCAUCCACGUCCUCUUCCUGGAGCAGAUAGUAGCUGUGGUCUGUCUGCACGGUCAGGGCCUGAGGGUACUCAGCCUGGAGCUCCAGGGCCAUCAGGGGAUUGUUGGAGUAGUCUGGGCUGGACAGGGAGUACCCUGGGCUGGGCGCAGGGUCACCGUCACUCCCCUGGGAGCUGGUGAAGGCCAGUAAAUUCUGUCCGACUAUGCCGCCAGUGCUGCUGUCGUCAGAGAUGCCGCUAUCGCUGCCCAGUGGAGAUUGGGAGGGACAGGAGGUGGCAAUGUUGUUUUCUCCCUCAAGCAAGCUGGACAGGAAGUCCUCAGUGUCCAUGCCUGUCAGCAUCUACAAUACAGCAGGAAGUUAGUGUCCAUUCUAUUCAAGAUUACUUGUUUAUCCCACAAAGAACAAUUGUGAAAUAGAGUUUACCUGCUAUAAAAUAAGGAAGUAUGUCACAUUUUGAUGUAAUUCGAUAAUAAACUACUUCUGCUUUACUAGUACAACAUGCAAUUAAAUUAAAAGGUUUGUUUCCUGCCAAUCAUCAAACUAUUAUCGGUUAGUAAACAUAAAACAGUGUUAUUCCUGAGUGGGAGACAUACAUCUUGCUUAGAGAGCCAGUUUUCUAGCCCACUUCCAUAUGGGAAGAAGGGGUCAUUAGCUCCCGUCUCUCCUUCCUGGAACAGGAUCCCCAGAAGAUCCGCCCCAUCCAUAUCAG